rnacentral:tRNA from 1 species
GGAGGAGUACCCAAGUGGCCAAAGGGAGCAGACUGUAAAUCUGUUACAUGAUUGUUUCAGUGGUUCGAAUCCACUCCCCUCCACCA